UACGGGGGGGUAAGCGUUGUUCGGAAUUACUGGGCGUAAAGGGCUCGUAGGCGGCCAACUAAGUCAGACGUGAAAUCCCUCAGCUUAACUGGGGAACUGCGUCUGAUACUGGAUGGCUUGAUUGGGAGAGGAUGCGGAAUUCCAGGUGUAGCGGUGAAAUGCGUAGAUAUCUGGAGGAACACCGGUGGCGAAGGCGGCAUCUGGACCAACUAUGACGCUGAGGCGCGA
rnacentral:rRNA from 1 species